rnacentral:lncRNA from 1 species
GUGGGGGGGGGGGCUAAUUAAAUUAAGUUAUUUUUACUAGCCAUUGUACAAUUGGAGGCCUAAGAUCCUGUCUAACUCUGUGAAGUUGGCACAGUUACAUUAAAAGUUUUAUAAUGUAGAAACUUUCUAAAUAUAUUUGUUCUGAGUACUCAUACCAUGGUGGACACCCUUAUUUUCAUGCAAUAGUUUCUGCAAAGGGAUGACUAUACCUUCUUAUGAAGUUUUCUCCCUCUGAACAUGCCUGUUAUCGGCCCGUUUGUUUUAAGGAACUCCUCCACUUCAAGUUUGGAACGGAAUUUCCUUUGGUACACCCUGUGUUCGUAGGUCUGCAUAUAAACAAUUUAUAUGGAGUUAAUAUUAUGUUUUUACAUGAGUAAUAAUAAUGUGACCAAAAUAUAUGCUAUACUUCAUAAGAUUACAUGGACUGUCCUUGAGCCUUGAAAUGCAGUCUUCAAACUUUAUCAAGUUCUAAUGUUGUAUACAUGCACAGCAUAAUAGAACCACAAUAUCUUGUGAAACUUCCACUCAUGAAAGUAAACUCAUUUUUAUUUUAUAAAACAAUGAUAAAUAAAAUGUAAAGGAUUUUGAAACAUUCUGGCCGAACUUGUCGUCUAAGAAUAAAAUCAGAAGCUUAUAAGAUAUAAUAUAUCCUAGUUCAGAGUUUUGUCAAGACACAGUGCACCAUCCCUGCAUUAAAUUAUCUUCAACAUUAGUUUAUGUUGUCAUAUGCAUGCAAAGCAUAUAAAAUUAUAAUUUUUUUGCAACAAAUAUUUAUUUUCAAAGAAUAAAAUCCUAAGGAUGUAAUUCAACGUACGUUCUUUACCAAUACUGAGCUCAGUUUUUCACUGAGCAUCCCUACAUUUUAGGAAAUCCAACUAUAAGGAGGGCCCUUCAUCAGAAUACAGAAGACAUGACAAUGACUUGAUGCUCUACAACAUUUCAAGCAAUAAACUUUUGAAGGGCAGUGGAUCAAACCAAUACAGUCUCCCCCGCCCCCGCCCCCACAGUGGAGCUUGGGCCUAGGGCUGGAAAAUAGAUGUGGC